CACGUAGGGUGCGAGCGUUGUCCGGAAUUAUUGGGCGUAAAGAGCUCGUAGGCGGUGUGUCGCGUCGGCCGUGAAAACCUGCAGCUUAACUGUGGGCUUGCGGUCGAUACGGGCAUCACUGGAGUUCGGCAGGGGAGACUGGAAUUCCUGGUGUAGCGGUGAAAUGCGCAGAUAUCAGGAGGAACACCGGGUGGGCGAAGGC
rnacentral:rRNA from 1 species